UACGAAGGGGGCGAGCGUUGUUCGGAAUUACUGGGCGUAAAGGGCGCGUAGGCGGUGCCACAAGUCACCUGUGAAAUCUCCGGGCUUAACUCGGAGCCUGCAGGCGAAACUGUGGUGCUGGAGUGUGGGAGAGGUGCGUGGAAUUCCUGGUGUAGCGGUGAAAUGCGUAGAUAUCAGGAGGAACACCUGCGGUGUAGACGGCUUUCUGGACCAUUGCUGACGCUGAGACACGAAAGCGUGGGUAGCAAACAGG
rnacentral:rRNA from 1 species